rnacentral:rRNA from 1 species
UACGGAGGGGGCGAGCGUUGUCCGAAGUUACUGGGCGUAAAGCGCGCGUAGGCGGAUCGCUAAGUCAGGGGUGAAAUCCCAGGGCUCAACCCUGGAACUGCUUUUGAUACUGACGAUCUGGAGAUCGGGAGAGGUUGGUGGAAUUCCGAGUGUAGAGGUGAAAUUCGUAGAUAUUCGGAGGAACACCAGAAGCGAAGGCGGCCAACUGGCCCGAUACUGACGCUGAGGCGCGAAAGCGUGGGGAGCAAACAGG